UACGUAGGGGGCAAGCGUUGUCCGGAUUUAUUGGGCGUAAAGAGCGUGUAGGCGGUUAUGCAGGUCCGCUGUGAAAACUGGAGGCUUAACCUCCAGACGUCGGUGGAAACCGUAUGACUAGAGUCCGGAAGAGGAGAGUGGAAUUCCUGGUGUAGCGGUGAAAUGCGCAGAUAUCAGGAGGAACACCAAUAGCGAAGGCAGCUCGCUGGGACGGUACUGACGCUAAGGCGCGAAAGCGUGGGGAGCGAACAGG
rnacentral:rRNA from 1 species